ACAAUCAUAGUAUAAUGGUAAAAUGAUCGUCUUUAAACAAUGGUUGUGGGUUCGAAUCCGACUGGUUGUA